rnacentral:rRNA from 1 species
GAUGGGGGGGGGGGGUAAGUGUUCUUCGGAAUGACUGGGCGUAAAGGGCACGCAGGCGGUGAAUCGGGUUGAAAGUCAAAGUCACCAAAAGCUGGCGGAAUCCUCUCGAAACCAAUUCACUUGAGUGAGACAGAGGAGAGUGGAAUUUCGUGUGUAGGGGUGAAAUCCAUAGAUCUACAAAGGAACCCCAAAAGAGAAGGCAGCUCUCCGGGUCCCUACCAACGCUGGGGUACGAAAGUAUGGGGGAGCGAACGAG